CAGUCGCCGCGUUAAUACGAAGGGGGCUAGCGUUGUUCGGAAUUACUGGGCGUAAAGGGCGCGUAGGCGGCCAUUCAAGUUAGAUGUGAAAGCCCUGGGCUCAACCUAGGAAUUGCAUUUGAUACUGUUUGGCUUGAGUUCGGGAGAGGUGAGUGGAAUUCCCAGUGUAGAGGUGAAAUUCGUAGAUAUUGGGAAGAACACCAGUGGCGAAGGCGGCUCACUGGACCGACACUGACGCUGAGGCGCGAAAGCGUGGGGAGCAAACAGGAUUAGAUACCCGCGUAGUCCCUGUCUCUUAUAC
rnacentral:rRNA from 1 species